AACGAACGCUGGCGGCAUGCCUAACACAUGCAAGUCGAACGAGACCUUCGGGUCUAGUGGCGCACGGGUGCGUAACGCGUGGGAACCUGCCUUUAGGUUCGGAAUAACUCAGAGAAAUUUGAGCUAAUACCGGAUAAUGUCUUCGGACCAAAGAUUUAUCGCCUUUAGAUGGGCCCGCGUAAGAUUAGCUAGUUGGUGGGGUAAAGGCCUACCAAGGCGACGAUCUUUAGCUGGUCUGAGAGGAUGAUCAGCCACACUGGGACUGAGACACGGCCCAGACUCCUACGGGAGGCAGCAGUGAGGAAUAUUGGACAAUGGGCGCAAGCCUGAUCCAGCCAUGCCGCGUGAGUGAAGAAGGCCUUCGGGUUGUAAAGCUCUUUCAGAUGUGAAGAUAAUGACGGUAGCAUCAGAAGAAGCCCCGGCUAAAUUCGUGCCAGCAGCCGCGGUAAU
rnacentral:rRNA from 1 species